CAGGAACUAGGUUAAAUAAAACUUUGGGUUUCCAAAACUCGAGAUGGGGAGAGUUCUUCGUUCCUGG
rnacentral:tRNA from 1 species